UACGGGGGGGGGCAAGCGUUGUUCGGAAUUACUGGGCGUAAAGGGCUCGUAGGUGGCCAACUAAGUCAGACGUGAAAUCCCUCGGCUUAACCGGGGAACUGCGUCUGAUACUGGAUGGCUUGAGUUCGGGAGAGGGAUGCGGAAUUCCAGGUGUAGCGGUGAAAUGCGUAGAUAUCUGGAGGAACACCGGUGGCGAAGGCGGCAUCCUGGACCGAUAUUGACGCUGAGGAGCGAAAGCCAGGGGAGCAAACGGG
rnacentral:rRNA from 1 species